AAUCAACGCUGGCGGCGUGCCUAACACAUGCAAGUCGAACGCGAAAGUCCCGCAAGGGAUUAGUAGAGUGGCAAACGGGUGAGUAACACGUGGGUGACCUGCCUUCGAGUGGGGGAUAACGUCCCGAAAGGGACGCUAAUACCGCAUGACAUCCUGUCUUUUAACAGACGGAGAUCAAAGCUGGGGAUCGCAAGACCUAGCGCUUGAAGAGGGGCCCGCGUCUGAUUAGCAGUUGGUGAGGUAACGGCUCACCAAGGCGACGAUCAGUAUCCGGCCUGAGAGGGCGGACGGACACACUGGGACUGAGACACGGCCCAGACUCCUACGGGAGGCAGCAGUGGGGAAUUGUUCGCAAUGGGCGCAAGCCUGACGACGCAACGCCGCGUGGAGGAUGAAGACCUUCGGU
rnacentral:rRNA from 1 species